UCAUUCCUACGGGGGGCAGCAGUGGGGAAUAUUGCACAAUGGGCGAAAGCCUGAUGCAGCAACGCCGCGUGAGCGAUGAAGGCCUUCGGGUCGUAAAGCUCUGUCCUCAAGGAAGAUAAUGACGGUACUUGAGGAGGAAGCCCCGGCUAACUACGUGCCAGCAGCCGCGGUAAUACGUAGGGGGCUAGCGUUGUCCGGAAUCACUGGGCGUAAAGGGCGCGUAGGCGGUAAUACGAGUCAGAUGUGAAAGGUGGGGGCUCAACCCCUAGAGUGCAACUGAUACUGUAUAACUUGAGUGUGAGAGG
rnacentral:rRNA from 1 species